CUUUUGAUUUGUUUACCCAUUGUUCUUUUUGGUUUCUUUACUUGUUUUUAUUUUGAUUUGCAAUUUUGUAUUUUUCCUCUUUUCUACAUUUCGGUUUCAUUACUGUAUGAAUCUUUCUAUCUUUGUAUUCUUCCUUUCUUUCUUCUUUCUUGCCUUUAAGUUCUUAACUUUUGUGAUUCAUUUUGUGACUUUCAGAUUUCGACCACUAACUCAGAGGCUUUCUUAUAUACUUGCCAGAAGAAAUCAGGUUGUCCAUGGGGAAACAUCAAUGACUUGGUUUGUUUGUUGAGGGUAACUUUCAAAGGAUUUAUCAGAUCAAAAAAUCUUUUUUGCAGUCUACCAUGCAAUCUCAUCUCUUAGUUGCUGUGGAGAAUGAGCCUUCGUUUUGUAAGAGGCUAAGGUGUACCAUGGAUUUUAUACUACUUGCCACAAUACAAUUAUAUGCCCAAGAAUUCUGAAUGCUAUUAAAAAAGCAAAAGAAUUUUAGGGAGACCUUAUCAUCGCAGGCCAUUCAAUUGGAGGUGCUAUGGUUUCUUUUUGUGCACUUGAUCUAACAGUGAUAUAUUUUUGUAAGAAAAUGCUCUGUACAGUUGAAACAUUCACCAACAACUCUAUAUGAUGAUGUAUUUAACAUUCCAGAUC